GAUGAACGCUGGCGGCGUGCCUAAUACAUGCAAGUCGAGCGAACAGACGAGGAGCUUGCUCCUCUGACGUUAGCGGCGGACGGGUGAGUAACACGUGGAUAACCUACCUAUAAGACUGGGAUAACUUCGGGAAACCGGAGCUAAUACCGGAUAAUAUAUUGAACCGCAUGGUUCAAUAGUGAAAGACGGUUUUGCUGUCACUUAUAGAUGGAUCCGCGCCGCAUUAGCUAGUUGGUAAGGUAACGGCUUACCAAGGCAACGAUGCGUAGCCGACCGGGGAGGGUGAUCGGCCACACUGGAACUGAGCCACGGUCCAGACUCCUACGGGAGGCACCAGUAGGGAAUCUUCCGCAAUGGGCGAAAGCCUGACGGAGCAACGCCGCGUGAGUGAUGAAGGUCUUCGGAUCGUAAAACUCUGUUAUUAGGGAAGAACAAAUGUGUAAGUAACUAUGCACGUCUUGACGGUACCUAAUCAGAAAGCCACGGCUAACUACGUG
rnacentral:rRNA from 1 species